rfam:Pelecanus crispus contig66903, whole genome shotgun sequence.
GCUGAAAUUAGCUCAGUUGGUUAGAGCAUGGUGCUAAUAACGCCAAGUUCACAGGUUCAAUCCCUGCUUACUGCG